rnacentral:rRNA from 1 species
UACGGAGGGUGCAAGCGUUAUCCGGAUUUACUGGGUUUAAAGGGUGCGUAGGCGGGCAGGUAAGUCAGUGGUGAAAUCUUCGAGCUUAACUCGGAAACUGCCUUUGAUACUAUCUGUCUUGAAUAUUGUGGAGGUAAGCGGAAUAUGUCAUGUAGCGGUGAAAUGCUUAGAUAUGACAUAGAACACCAAUUGCGUAGGCAGCUUACUACACGAUCAUUGACGCUGAGGCACGAAAGCGUGGGGAGCAAACAGG